rnacentral:tRNA from 1 species
GACUCCGUAGCUCAGUUGGUAGAGCAGUGGCCUUUUAAGCCAUUGGUCGCGCGUUCGAGUCGCGCCGGGGUCA